rnacentral:pre_miRNA from 1 species
CUCUUGGAAGCUGGUUUCAGGUGGUGGCUUAGAGUAUUGUCAUCUAUCUAGCACCAUUUGAAAUCAGUGUUCUUGGGG